rnacentral:rRNA from 1 species
GAUGAACGCUGGCGGCGUGCCUAAUACAUGCAAGUCGAGCGAACGGACGAGAAGCUUGCUUCUCUGAUGUUAGCGGCGGACGGGUGAGUAACACGUGGAUAACCUACCUAUAAGACUGGGAUAACUUCGGGAAACCGGAGCUAAUACCGGAUAAUAUUUUGAACCGCAUGGUUCAAAAGUGAAAGACGGUCUUGCUGUCACUUAUAGAUGGAUCCGCGCUGCAUUAGCUAGUUGGUAAGGUAACGGCUUACCAAGGCAACGAUGCAUAGCCGACCUGAGAGGGUGAUCGGCCACACUGGAACUGAGACACGGUCCAGACUCCUACGGGAGACAGCAGUAUGGAAUCUUCCGCAAUGGGCGAAAGCCUGACGGAGCAACGCCGCGUGAGUGAUGAAGGUCUUCGGAUCGUAAAACGCUGUUAUUAGGGAAGAACAUAUGUGUAAGUAACUGUGCACAUCUUGACGGUACCUAAUCAGAAAGCCACGGCUAACUACGU